rnacentral:rRNA from 1 species
GGACUCAACCGGGAACUGCAUUUGAGACUGCCGGCUGGAGUUUGGCAGAGGGGGGUGGAAUUCCACGUGUAGCAGUGAAAUGCGUAGAGAUGUGGAGGAACACCGAUGGCGAAGGCAGCCCCCUGGGCCAAUACUGACGCUCAUGCACGAAAGCGUGGGGAGCAAACAGGAUUAGAUACCCUGGUAGUCCACGCCCUAAACGAUGUCAACUAGGUGUUGG